CCUCUUGCUGGUUCUUCUUGGGAUGGUCCAGGUGGGGAGUGUUUGUAGGGACCGUUCUCACACGUGUGUUUUGUUUAGCUGCAUGUUCAGUGUCCCCGGGCGGGAGUGUUUGUUGCGUGGGGUUUCGGUUCCCCAGCGCUGCCAUUGUAAUUUGCUCGCGUGGGUCUCAUGGGCAUUAUGGCGAUGGCUUGGUUGGCCUCGGGGGGAGGUGAGUAUUUCUCCACUUUGCUUUACUGUUGGGCUGGGAGGCAGGAGCCACUUUGUCAACUGUGG